rnacentral:rRNA from 1 species
UACGGAGGGUGCGAGCGUUGUCCGGAAUCACUGGGCGUAAAGGGCGCGUAGGUGGCCCGUUAAGUGGCUGGUGAAAUCCCGCGGCUCAACUGCGGGGCUGCCGGUCAUACUGGCGAGCUAGAGCACGGUAGGGGCAGAUGGAAUUCCCGGUGUAGCGGUGGAAUGCGUAGAGAUCGGGAAGAAUACCAGUGGCGAAGGCGCCCACCUGGCCUGCUACUGACGCUGAAGCUCGAAAGCUAGGGGAGCAAACGGG